ensembl:lncRNA
GGUGGCUCAGUCCUCGGCUUUGUUCUUGGAAGCCUUGAAAGUUUUCCCCAGGCGGAGGGGGGAGAGUCUGUUAAUUCCACACUUCACGAUAAUCUUUGCCCUCUAUUUCUCAUUCUUAAAUACGAUUGUGUUAUGCAGGGAGGUGUUUUAGGGACUCAGGAACAAUGCGGGGCUUCCACGGCUUUCUCCUGCAGCGCUCCUGUGACACUCAUAUUUCCAUUGACUCGAGGCACUCUUUGCCGUUCCCAGGAGCUGCACACAAAGCCCUGUGGGGCUGCUAGCUCCGUGCUCGGGGGGAGGUGGGCGCGUGCCAAAUGCUGAAAUCUCGUCCCUGUUAAGGAGAAGGACUUUGCCUGGUGCAGAGGGAGGUCAGAGUGCAAAGCACCUUCCCUAGUCCCUAGUGCAGGCAAAAACCAAUUUCAGCCAAUCAAAGCUGUUCCUCUCAGCUCAUUUCAUACCCCAGAUCUCGUGCACAAAGACUGGAAAAAAGGUAAAUCCCCUGAAUUCAAGCAUAUGUCCACUUACUUGAGCUAUUUUAAGCACUGACUUCUCCCACUGCACGGGUGCCAUGGUCAGGUACUCAAACCCGAAGGAGAGAUGAGGACAAAGCCAUGGGCUGAGCUGUGUCCGACACAAGGGGCACAGCAGGCUCUGUCGGGGAUGGGGCUUGCAGCAGGCUCGGGAAACAACAGGAUGUUUUAAUCUUUCCUUGCAAAAUUUUGCACAAGAAAUGGUGUUAUGUUUGGCUGUAUAGAGGGGUCCUGUCUUGAAGUGCUGUUUUUCUUCUUGCCUGAGGGGGAAGGCAUGAUAUCAACCAGAUUUGUUGAACGCUAGUGGUUUUCUGUGUUGUUGUUUGGAUUGUAAACACCAUGGGUCGUCAGCCCUCUGCUUUUGCUAUGCCUUCACCCUGGUCCUGCACAAGCAGCCCCUUUCCCUGUCUGGGCCAUGGAUACUGCCAGGACACAGCUAAUAAAGGAUUUCUUAUCUGACCUGAAGCUGCAAUGACACCUCCGGCCCCAGAGCUGCCACUGCACUCCCCAAGAAUGCUGAAGCAGCCCCUGCUGCCACCAUCAGCUUUCUGGGCUGCUCCAUCCCACUUCCUACCCUCCCUGCUUAUGGCAAGGCAUGUCCCCAGUGCACCUCCCUCACAGGUGGCCGGUCCUCCUUCUUAUGGCAGCACUACACGGACACCCGCUCUUAAGGACACAAACUUCUUCCCAAGCACUGGGGCAGAUAAAAACCAUAUGUGUUUUGGACUGGUUUUCCCCAGCUGUUUUCAGCUCGCCUUUUCCCUCCAGCUGAAUGGGUUUUUGUUUAUAUGCUGCCCAGGUUUCCCAUUUCCACCAGCCUUGGCACUGUCUCCUGUUGGUGUCCCCAGUGUCACUACAGCUGGUCCCUGAGUGGCUGUGUCACAUCCCCUUACCUUGGCCUCA